UGCAGUCGAGCGGUAGAGAGAAGCUUGCUUCUCUUGAGAGCGGCGGACGGGUGAGUAAUGCCUAGGAAUCUGCCUAGUGGUGGGGGAUAACGUUCGGAAACGGGCGCUAAUACCGCAUACGUCCUACGGGAGAAAGCGGGGGAUCUUCGGACCUCGCGCCAUUAGAUGAGCCUAGGUCGGAUUAGCUAGUUGGUGAGGUAAUGGCUCACCCAGGGCGACGAUCCGUAACUGGUCUGAGAGGAUGAUCAGUCACACUGGAACUGAGACACGGUCCAGACUCCUACGGGAGGCAGCAGUGGGGAAUAUUGGACAAUGGGCGAAAGCCUGAUCCAGCCAUGCCGCGUGUGUGAAGAAGGUCUUCGGAUUGUAAAGCACUUUAAGUUGGGAGGAAGGGCAGUAACCUAAUACGUUAUUGUUUUGACGUUACCGACAGAAUAAGCACCGGCUAACUUCGUGCCAGCAGCCGCGGUAAUACGAAGGGUGCAAGCGUUAAUCGGAAUUACUGGGCGUAAAGCGCGCGUAGGUGGUUCAGUAAGUUGGAAGUGAAAUCCCCGGGCUCAACCUGGGAACUGCUUUCAAAACUGCUGAGCUAGAGUACGGUAGA
rnacentral:rRNA from 1 species